rnacentral:rRNA from 1 species
UACGUAGGUGGCAAGCGUUGUCCGGAUUUAUUGGGUUUAAAGGGUGCGUAGGCGGCCCUGUAAGUCAGUGCUGAAAUAUCCCAGCUUAACUGGGAGGGUGGCAUUGAUACUGCGGGGCUAGAGUACAGAUGAGGUAGGCGGAAUUGACGGUGUAGCGGUGAAAUGCUUAGAUAUCGUCAAGAACACCUAUAGCGAAGGCAGCUUACUAGGCUGUAACUGACGCUGAGGCACGAAAGCCAGGGGAGCAAACGGG